GACCGUAGAAAUAUAACUUAUUACAUCACAUACACAGUGAACAUGAGCCUUGAGUUCUAAACCUAACAUGGCAUCAUGAAGCACGAUAUGGAGAUUACCUCCAACUUCCGGGGACUUGAGAUGCGCUCUUCAUGUUAUAUAAAAACGCCAAUUGUGGCUAAGAUACGACGCAGUCAUAUUCUUUCAAAACGUUGAACAAAGUUUGAAGGUGGAUCAGCUCUCGUGUAAGGCAUCUCCAGCAUGUGUGUAAUUGAUUCGGACUGUCGCAAACUAUCAACAACCGAGGAAAAAGAGCAGUUCCGGGGAUUGCUCGUUUGUGGGGCACUAAAACCAGAUCUGCUGCUUUGUUGUGAUUCAAACAAUGGAUUGGGUGGUUCAACGUGGCAUUACGUGGUGAUCAUGCUUCUGAUGGUCUCGUUCGUAAUCAACCUAUGCCUUGUACUUUAUAACAGGAAGCUGAAGCAACGCCUCCGAGGAGUGAACGGCAUUUAAACGACUAAAUCUUCAAACAUGUUCUGAAAGUGGAAAAGGUGCUAGUUUCUUUUAUAAUGUUCACAAAAAGGAAAUAAAACAAACAUGCACGAAACAUG